CCUACGGGGGGCAGCAGUGAGGAAUAUUGGUCAAUGGGCGGGAGACUGAACCAGCCAAGCCGCGUGAGGGAGGAAGGUACAGAGUAUCGUAAACCUCUUUUGUCAGGGAACAAAGACUGGGACGCGUCCCCGGAUGAGUGUACCUGAAGAAAAAGCAUCGGCUAACUCCGUGCCAGCAGCCGCGGUAAUACGGAGGAUGCGAGCGUUAUCCGGAUUUAUUGGGCUUAAAGGGUGCGCAGGCGGGCUGUUAAGUCAGCGGUCAAACCCCGGGGCUCAACCCCGGCCCGCCGUUGAAACUGGGCGUCUCGAGUUGGCGAGAAGCAUGCGGAAUGCGCGGUGUAGCGGUGAAAUGCAUAGAUAUCGCGCAGAACCCCGAUUGCGAAGGCAGCCUGCCGGCUCCACACUGACGCUGAGGCACGAAAGCGUGGGUAUCGAACAGGAUUAGAUACCCGAGUAGUC
rnacentral:rRNA from 1 species